GAUGAACGCUGGCGGCGUGCCUAACACAUGCAAGUCGAGCGAAAAGACGAGGUGGUUGCUCCUCGGACGUUAGAGGGGGACGGGAGAGUAACACGUGGAUACCCUACCUAUAGGACUGGGAUAAAUACGGGAAACCGGAGCUCAUACCGGAUAACAUGGAGAACCGCAUGGCUCAACAGUGAAAGACGGUGUUGCUGUCACUUGCAGAUGGAUCCGCGGCUCAUUAGCUAGUUGGUAAGGUAACGGCUUACCAAGGCAACGAUGCGUAGCCGACCUGAGAGGGUGAUCGGCCACACUGGGACUGAGACACGGUCCAGACUCCUACGGGAGGCAGCAGUAGGGAAUCUUCGGCAAUGGGCGAAAGCCUGACGGAGCAACGCCGCGUGCAGGAAGAAGGUCUUCGGAUCGUAAAACGCUGUUAUUAGGGAAGAAAAAAUGUGUAAGUAACUAUGGACUUCAUGACGGUACCUAAAGAGAAAGCCACGGCUAACUACGUG
rnacentral:rRNA from 1 species